AACACAGACUGUAGGCUGGGGGUGAAGCCAGUGAGGAGGAGCUGGCCAGGACAGAAGUCAGUCUUGCCAAUUCCUGAAGGGUAGGCUUCCAGAGAGCCACGAUUCCAGGAUGCACUGUGACGUCAGCCAGGCCAGCUCCACGAGCCUCCCCAACACUGCCACCCUUCCCCCAUCUGAGCAAUGGCUGUGGUCACACUGUGCUCAGAGAGGCACGCAUUGUUUAGGGCAGAGUCCUCUAACAGGACCUAGAAAUAAAGUAUCAGGUUUAUCCCUUUAAAAGAAGGAAAGAUGAAAAGGCAUCCAGUUAGAGGUGUCACCUAGGCAACAGGAAAUAAUUUGGGGAUCUGAGCUAUCCAGAGGGGAAAGGAGACAUCCCCAUGACAGAGACGUCUAGACCAUGAGGACUUAAUAGCAGGCAACUCAGAGAAAGUGAGCCCCAGGAAGAGAACGGGAGGCUUAAGACACAGUCACCAUGGCUCCUUGAGCUAGACAGGCCAAAAAGGCAUCCGGGCAAUCUGCUGACCAGCACACAGGACUGCAAAGAAUCCCAUCCCCACAGGCGGGAACAGGACGUGCCUCCGGAGAAGGCAGGCUCAUAACCUUCUCUGGCAGUCUUCUGUCACCACUGCUUCCUGAAGUCUAUUCUGCGUUGCUCACGCCGCCGCCUUAGCUGUUUUCACUCCUUUUCCUAUGCUUUGGCUUUGGAAGGAGGCAACUGCAGGCAGCUUGAGCACGCUGCUGAAGGAAUCGAAAACAUGGUUCAGGGGAGCUAGGAAAGGGACCCUUCCUGCUCAGCAACCUCCCAGAGAAACGCCAGUCCUCUAGUGUACAAUGGUAGCCCAGGACUCAGUGGUAUGCACGUAUUUUUGUCCGUGUUCCCCUGGUUACCCACUACUGCCGCCCUUUUCAAUCAUCAUUGUCCUUUACCUCAGGCCAAAGGGCUCAGUCCCCCAGAUGCCAGGGGCUGCUGGGAAAAGCCGGGCUCCCAAGGUCAGGGGGUUUGUUGGAGCCUAGACCCAUGCCUAAAGGGCUUGUUUGACAUCCUGCUUGUGGGCGAGCAUAGAGAACCAGACCUGCUUGACAAGCUGGGAUGGGGUCCUCCCAUCGUUUCAGGAUUAUAGACAACGAUACGGACCCCUUUCUUUGGUGCAGAUUCUUCUGAACCUCAGGCUAAGAAAGGGCUCCUUCCUCUUAGAUGCUGUGGCCUCUCCCACCACGCAGGGGUCUCCAGUCCGACUCACAGCUGGUAGCUCGCUGUAAUCACAACGUCCCCAGGCUCCACGAGUUGCUUCCUAACCUGAGGCCCACACUCACCCCUCUUGUGCUGGGGCUCUGGGGCUCCCGUAAAGGCAGCAUGGGCUCUUGUCGCUUGGCUGUGGCCACACAGAGGCCAGGAUCUUAGACUGCAGCCAGGCCUUCUCAGAGCUGAGCAGGCAGGGAAGGAGCCGCCCUUGGUGCCCUUGCUCUCUAAGAAGGCCAGGUGGUCAGGGCCCUGUGUCCUCUGACUGAAGCCAGCACCUCCGGGCCUGGCGAAGGAGUCGGAAGCCUCAGGCAGCCGCAGGCCUUCAGCUUGUGGAAGAUGCCACGAAGUCCUGGGCUUUGCCAGGAGUGUCACACAUCAUGCACACACAUGCGUGUACACACACACACGUCAGCCUUAUAAAGAGCUACUAGCCCCUUUCCCCACGGAAAAGAAGUCCUGGUCUGGGCCACUUUAAGGAGAAAGCUUUUGCAUUUUUAACUCCCUGGAGAUCUGCAGGGGCCUGGAAAAUUCCUCCCUGUCUUGGGGGAGUUUCAUGGACACUUUGCAUGUAUCUGUGUUUUACACAGACGCCAGCGACCAAACCCAAGCCAAACCCUGGAAAACAGCUGCUGAAUGUACACAGGCUCCUCCGCCUCUCGGACAGGCCUCCUAGCAGAUCCCUCUUCCUGCGCCCUGGGUGAGGGGCGCCUGAGCCCUCCUGGCCACGGCAGCCCACAGAGGCGGAGACCACAGGAGCCGUGGGCCAGGUGGCUCCACCUUACUGUAACUUUUUACAUUCUUCACAAACAAAAAGCACAAUUCCACACGCACACUGUCUGGAAAGCACAUUCAGACAGACGGCUUGAGGCACUUCUGAGUCCAGAAGACGCGCUGGCUGGGGCCCGUUUUUUUGUUGGAACAGUUGUUAUAAAAUGUGCUGGUUGGUGCCACCGAAGGCUCCACUCUGGGGCGGGGGAUGGUUGCUGACACCACCCCUGACCCCCAGGACGGGCUCAUCGGCAUGGACUCAGGGCCCGGACUCUCGUCCCUGGAGCAGCUCUGACACCUGCAGGUACCAAACCCAGCCGGUCUCAUUGCUGAAGCGGUGAUGUUUCUGCACCGACCUGGCCCAAGACCCCCUUCCCCUUUCUGUCAGCCUCCCCCCACCUCCUCCCUAGGGAAGCUUCCUCCCUUGCUUUAUAAAUCAUUUUCUAUGCUACCCAUUCUCUCAGGAGGGGGUUAGAGCAUGCGGGGCAAGCCUGCAGGGUUUCUUAGACAAUACAUUUAUUUUUCCGAGCAGCACUCCAAGAGAGGGCUUGAGGGGUGUUUAAAUUAACGAUGAAUAAAAUGCAGCCUGCCACCCC
rnacentral:lncRNA from 1 species